rnacentral:rRNA from 1 species
UACGUAGGGUGCGAGCGUUAAUCGGAAUUACUGGGCGUAAAGCGUGCGCAGGCGGUUCGUUGUGUCGGCGGUGAAAGCCCCGGGCUUAACCUGGGAAUGGCCGUCGAAACUGGCGAACUGGAGUGUGGCAGAGGGGGGUGGAACUCCGCGUGUAGCAGUGAAAUGCGUAGAGAUGCGGAGGAACACCGAUGGUGAAGGCAGCCCCCUGGGCUGACACUGACGCUCAGGCACGAAAGCGUGGGGAGCAAACAGG